rnacentral:rRNA from 1 species
AACAGGAUUAGAUACCCUGGUAGUCCAUGCCGUAAACGUUGGGCACUAGGUGUGGGGGACAUUCCACGUUUUCCGCGCCGUAGCUAACGCAUUAAGUGCCCCGCCUGGGGAGUACGGCCGCAAGGCUAAAACUCAAAGGAAUUGACGGGGGCCCGCACAAGCGGCGGAGCAUGCGGAUUAAUUCGAUGCAACGCGAAGAACCUUACCAAGGCUUGACAUGGACCGGACCGCUGCAGAGAUGUAGCUUCCCUUCGGGGCUGGUUCACAGGUGGUGCAUGGUUGUCGUCAGCUCGUGUCGUGAGAUGUUGGGUUAAGUCCCGCAACGAGCGCAACCCUUGUCCUAUGUUGCCAGCACGUAAAGGUGGGGACUCAUGGGAGACUGCCGGGAUCAACUCGGAGGAAGGUGGGGAUGACGUCAAAUCAUCAUGCCCCUUAUGUCUUGGGCUUCACGCAUGCUACAAUGGCCGGUACAGUGGGUUGCGAUACUGUGAGGUGGAGCUAAUCCCUAAAAGCCGGUCUCAGUUCGGAUCGAAGUCUGCAACUCGACUUCGUGAAGUUGGAGUCGCUAGUAAUCGCAGAUCAGCAACGCUGCGGUGAAUACGUUCCCGGGCCUUGUACACACCGCCCGUCAAGUCACGAAAGUUGGUAACACCCGAAGCCCAUGGCCCAACCCUUGUGGAGGGAAUGGUCGAAGGUGGGACUAGCGAUUGGGACUAAGUCGUAACAAGGUAACC